rnacentral:tRNA from 1 species
GGGGCAUAGCUCAGUUGGUAAAGUGCUUGCCUCAUGUGCACAAGGCCCUGGGUUUGAUUCCCAGCACCA